UUCUAUUCUCAUCUGAUAAUUUCUUUCUUUUUUUCUCUCCUUCUUAUUAUCAUUUAUAUAAAAACAGGGUUGGAGCAAUGCU
rnacentral:ribozyme from 12 species